ensembl:lncRNA
AUCCAAAAUCAGCUGUUUAGGAGAGUCUUUCUUAAUGCUUGUCAUUUAUUACCUCAGCUGCCUGCUUUGAAGCGUCAGCAAGUCAUUGUCAGCCAGAGGCUCUGCCAGCAGAAAAACUUCUAAAUCAAGCUUCUAUUUUUGUUCUUAAUUGUGGGUAAUCACAUAUGUGGAGUGUGACUGCACACAAUACAAGUGUGCUUGCUUAGUCUUCACGGAAACUGGAGAAGUAAAAAUCUAGGGGUUUCUUGCUAUUGCUCACUUCAGCUCCAAGUGCCUCCAAACUGGACAGAGAGGAUCAAUAUCUGUUUACUAGAGGGUUGCCAAUACAUGUGUUCUGCACACAUUUAGUUCUCUGCAACCUUAUCAACAUUUCGAUUCUGUUGAAGAGCUAUUCAAAUCACUCUGAACCAACGUUCCUUUUCUUCCCCCUAAAGAUAAGCUUCCUGUGUGCUGUCUGAACUUUCUUAUUUACAGCUAUUUCUGUGAAGUCCCAUACUCAAUUCACAGCUGGCAGGGAGCAAAAACGUGUUGCUCUUAGGACUGUAAGUAUGGAGGCUAAGCCACUGGGGAGAAGAAAUGUGGUGCUUCAUCCUCCUGGCUCAAGUGCAGAACCUGAAAAGGCUAGAGCACAAUCAGAGCACUCUGUCUCUGCACCAUUUGGGAUUCAGACUUCAGGGAAGCUCCCAGAUGGGUCAGCAGGAGGAGCUGCUGCUUCCCCGUGGUCUGAAACGCUUUAGGAAACUGGAGCUUGUGUGGCUUGGACCAUUUGCUUUCACACAGAUGAAGAAGUCAUGCAAAGGACACCUCAAGAUGGAACACCGUGAGCCUACAGGGCCUGAGAGCAGUGUUUUGAUCCACAGCUACAGCAGUGACUCCGAACCAUUUGGUCACAGGUCUGGAGGUGCUGGUGUAUCAGAAUGGACCCGAUCACAUACUGUGACUGAGAUGUCGGCGCUGAGCCGAUUUAAGCUUGUUUGAAGGAUGAAAGUCACUGCUGGCUGUGCUGGGGCUGAGAAAUUACACCUGGCGAUAAUAUUAUGAUCUUUUUUUUCUUCUUUAAGAGCUCUUUGCACUCUUCCUCCAUGCUGUGCUCACGUCAGGAGCAGGGAGGAGGCAACAGAGGAAUUGCUCUGGAGUGCUAUUUUAGCCCAUUCCCACUUGCUGUCUGUUCCUCAGCAAGCAGGGUGACAUUUUUCUCCUUAACGUGACAGCUCACAUUCAGAUCAUCCCAUUUUGGUGAUGCAUGUGCUCAGGAUCUGUUUAAUCAGGGAUUUAACAGGAGGGAGUAGGGGGAGGCAGAGCAUGGCUGCGCUGAGGGGCUGAGAAGCAUUGAAUGUGCUCACUCAGCCGCAGGGGCUGAGCACCACAGCCACUUUGCUCAGGAAAGCAAUAAGAAAAAGGAGAUGGGACACUGCCAUUUGGAACAGCCCUGAGACAGCGCCGGAGAGGAAUCCCCUCAUGGCGCUGAGUAGGUCUCCUAGUCAGAGCAGGGCUCGGUGGAGCUCUGAGGGCAGUACCAGGGCCGG